GACGAACGCUGGCGGCGUGCCUAACACAUGCAAGUCGAACGGAACUUCUUUAAUUGAUUUCUUCGGAAUGAAUUUGAUUAAGUUUAGUGGCGGACGGGUGAGUAACGCGUGAGUAACCUGCCUCUGAGAGGGGAAUAACAUUCUGAAAAGAAUGCUAAUACCGCAUAAUAUAUAUUUAUCGCAUGGUAGAUAUAUCAAAGAUUUAUCGCUUAGAGAUGGACUCGCGUCCGAUUAGUUAGUUGGUGAGGUAACGGCUCACCAAGACUGCGAUCGGUAGCCGGACUGAGAGGUUGAACGGCCACAUUGGGACUGAGACACGGCCCAGACUCCUACGGGAGGCAGCAGUGGGGGAUAUUGCGCAAUGGGGGAAACCCUGACGCAGCAACGCCGCGUGAAGGAUGAAGGUCUUCGGAUUGUAAACUUCUUUUAUUAAGGACGAAGAAAGUGACGGUACUUAAUGAAUAAGCUC
rnacentral:rRNA from 1 species